AUUGAACGCUGGCGGCAUGCCUUACACAUGCAAGUCGAACGGCAGCACGGGUGCUUGCCCCUGGUGGCGAGUGGCGAACGGGUGAGUAAUACAUCGGAACAUGUCCUGUAGUGGGGGAUAGCCCGGCGAAAGCCGGAUUAAUACCGCAUACGAUCUACGGCUGAAAGCGGGGGACCUUCGGGCUUCGCGCUAUAGGGUUGGCCGGUAGCUGAUUAGCUAGUUGGUGGGGUAAAGGCCUACCAAGGCGACGGUCAGUAGCUGGUCUGAGAGGACGACCAGCCACACUGGGACUGAGACACGGCCCAGACUCCUACGGGAGGCAGCAGUGGGGAAUUUUGGACAAUGGGCGAAAGCCUGAUCCAGCAAUGCCGCGUGUGUGAAGAAGGCCUUCGGGUUGUAAAGCACUUUUGUCCGGAAAGAAAUCCUUGGCUCUAAUACAGUCGGGGGAUGACGGUACCGGAAGAAUAAGCACCGGCUAACUACGUG
rnacentral:rRNA from 1 species